rnacentral:rRNA from 1 species
UACAGAGGGUGCGAGCGUUGUCCGGAAUCACUGGGCGUAAAGGGCGCGUAGGUGGUGGCUUAAGCGUGCGGUGAAAGCUCGGGGCUCAACUCCGAGUCGGCCGUGCGAACUGGGCUCACUGGAGCAUAGUAGAGGCAGGUGGAAUUCCGGGUGUAGCGGUGGAAUGCGUAGAGAUCCGGAGGAAGACCGGUGGCGAAGGCGGUCUGCUGGGCAGUUUCUGACACUGAGGCGCGACAGCGUGGGGAGCAAACAGG